rnacentral:misc_RNA from 1 species
UGUUCAUUAAUGAGGACCUGAAGUGUCUGAACCUGCGACACAACGCCCUCAAGGAGCGUCCUAUUGAGGAGGACAUCUACACCAUCGGGUGGCUGGACGACCUACCAAAAUUCCACAGUCUGUGUAGCCUGAAUCUAGCAGACAAUAACCUGUCUAACUUCCCGGCCGCCAUCUGCCAGAUGAAGACGCUCACCGAACUCAACAUAGCCUCCAACAAAAUCAGAGAGAUCCCUUCCGAAAUAGUCCACAUGUCCAGCCUGCAGAUGUUACACAUCCACAACAAUCACCUGAACUCACUACCCACAGAAAUGAGUGAGAUGAGCUCGCUCAAGAUCCUGGUUCUUGCCUUUAACCACUUUACCACAAUCCCAGAGGUCCUCCUCCAAUCUCAGAAUUCCAAAUCUAAUUUGGACAGCAUUAUCAUGGCAGGGAACAGGGUGGAGAAAUUACCACACGAGGUGUUGUGUAGGAUGCAGCACAUUAAGAAGAUCGACCUCAGAAUGAACAGCCUCUCCUUACUACCGAGUGAGACGGCCAAGUUCCACUUCCUGGAACUGGUGACCCACUUAGACGUGAGGGACAACCAGAUUAAAGACCUGGACGUCCGGUCCCUGAAGUCUCUGGAAUACCUGAACUGUGAGAGGAACGGCAUGCAGAGUCUGCAGGUCAACGGCUCCUCCCUCAAAAACCUGUACGCCACCGAUAACGUGUUGGAAACAUUUUCAGUCAAUCCAAAACCUGAGUGGCUUGUCAAUCUGGACAUCUCAAGAAACAAGCUGCCCUGUCUCCCCUCUUGGGCCUCCGAGUGCUUCUUUAUGGUCAAACUCGAUGCUAGUCAUAAUGUGAUAACAGAUCUUCCUCCAAGGUUGUUCUGUGAUGCCCGUAAGCUAAAGGUGCUGAACCUAAGUCACAAUAAGAUCUCUGAGGUCCCCUCGGACCUCCAGAACUGUGUGUUGGAGGACCUCCACUUGGAGCACAACUGUCUGACUCUGUUACCUGGCCACCUCAUGCUGCAGGCCAGCAAGUUGAAGUAUUUGAACCUGACAGGAAAUGACCUCCAGUCUGUCCCACAAUUCAGUUUUACCCACAGUUCCCGGCUGCAUGAGCUGUACCUCUCUGACAACAGAUUGGAGGAUGACUCGAUCCCCUUCCUGUGUACCUUCACCAAGCUCAGAAUUCUACACAUCGCUCACAACAGAAUCACAGAAAUCAAAAACAGAGACAUAGUGAAGCUGGAGAACUUGCUAGAGAUCAAUUUAUCAGGGAAUGACCUUCGAACUCUGCCCUCUAACCUGGGGAAACACCCCAAGCUCCAGAUCAUCAGGGCCAAUGGUAACCACCUGAAGGAACUCCCCGACUUCAAACGGCUCCAACACUCAAAGACAAAAAACAGAGAGCUCCCCCACCCCCUCCCCUCCCCCCUCGUGUGUCCCUGGAGGAUUUGUAUGCCAAACCACAGAAGAAGGAACGGAGGGCUCCACCCCCACCCCCUUCCAAUGACUUAUACCAAAGGGAGAGAACUCAAAGCAAGGAAGAUGAGGACAGAGUUACGAUACAAAUUGUGAAACCAGUUGUUCCACCCAGAACCUAUCUGUCCAAGUCAGAGUCGGUCGACAGUGCUCAGUGUGGGAGGAAGCCGACCGAUUCCCUCCUGGCUCUACAUAGAGGGAACGUGUUGAAUAUCCGUGCCAAGUUUGAAAGUGACAACAGUUCGACCUCAAACAAAUCCGAAAACAAUGUGGACUAUAUACUGACUCCAGAAGUAGUGGACACUCAGGCGAACGAGAAUAAAGGCUACUUGAAGCACGAGCCAGAUGUGAAUUCGAACUCUCUCACUAGCCUACAGAACUUUUACUUCGCUCUACAGAACGGGACAAGCUCCAAUGGUUACCAUGACAACUCAGAUGGUCCAUUCAACACGCCCUCCCUGGAGUCCCUCCUACACAAGUCGCUGAGUCAGCAAAGUGUCAUUGAGACCUACUUAUAGCACUAAAGAAAGAAUGGAUGCCUAACAAACUGCAAAUUUAAGAUGUGUUGAUAAAACAUUUUCCUUUUAUAUCUUUUUUUAAAAUUUAUUUUAAACCAUUUCAUAUGUGCAAUAUGUGAUUAUGUGAAAAAAGUCAUUUAUUAAAACACUAAAAAAUCCU